GCAGCAGAGAUAAUAACAGAGAGUGGCAGCAGAGAUAAUAACAGAGAGUGGCAGCAGAGAUAAUAACAGAGAGUGGCAGCAGAGAUAAUAACAGAGAGUGGCAGCAGAGAUAAUAACAGAGAGUGGCAGCAGAGAUAAUAACAGAGAUAAUAACAGAGUAGCAGCAGAGAUAAUAACAGAGAAUAGCAGCAGAGAUAAUAACAGAGAGUAGCAGCAGAGAUAAUAACAGAGAGUAGCAGCAGAGAUAAUAACAGAGAGUAGCAGCAGAGAUAAUAACAGAGAGUAGCAGCAGAGAUAAUAACAGAGUAGCAGCAGAGAUAAUAACAGAGAGUAGCAGCAGAGAUAAUAACAGAGAGUAGCAGCAGAGAUAAUAACAGAGUAGCAGCAGAGAUAAUAACAGAGAGUAGCAGCAGAGAUAAUAACAGAGAGUAGCAGCAGAGAUAAUAACAGAGAGUAGCAGCAGAGAUGAGAGUAGCAGCAGAGAUAAUAACAGAGAGUAGCAGCAGAGAUGAGAGUAGCAGCAGAGAUAAUAACAGAGAGUAGCAGCAGAGAUAAUAACAGAGAGUAGCAGCAGAGAUAAUAACAGAGAGUAGCAGCAGAGAUAAUAACAGAGAGUAGCAGCAGAGAUGAGAGUAGCAGCAGAGAUAAUAACAGGGACUAGCAGCAGAGAUAAUAACAGAGUAGCAGCGUAGAAGAUAAUAACGAGUUCAGCUUCUAGGUGUUCCUUCCUGUUACCAUAGCAAGAUUUAUGUGAUGCCUCCGCUGAUCUGUGAGAGAUGCUGUGAGGUGGAGAUGUCACUAGAGUUUCACCUGAGAGAUGCUGUGAGGUGUAGACGUCACUAGAGUUUCACCUGAGAGAUGCUGUGAGGUGGAGACGUCACUAGAGUUUCACCUGAGAGGUGCUGUGAGGUGGAGACGUCACUAGAGUUUCACCUGAGAGAUGCUGUGAGGUGGAGACGUCACUAGAGUUUCACCUGAGAGAUGCUGUGAGGUGGAGACGUCAGUGUUUCACCUGAGAGAUGCUGUGAGGUGGAGACGUUACCAGUGUUUCACCUGAGAGAUGCUGUGAGGUGGAGACGUCACUAGAGUUUCACCUGAGAGAUGCUGUGAGGUGGAGAUGUUACCAGAGUUUCACCUGAGAGAUGCUGUGAGGUGUAAAUCAUCAUGGGUUCAUCAUCUGAAAUAGAAUAUAGAUCGUAUAUACAGUAUAUGUGUGAUAGAUUCAUCUGUUUUGACCACAUCUCACUACUGUAUUGCUCUUGCUAUGCUACUGUAGUAGCUGUAUAGUAGAGAUAGUGUAUAGCAUUACUGUACAGCGACCUCUGCUCUCCCCAGCUAAGUGGAUGAGAAAGAGUAGCAUUACACUAUUUUAUACAUUGAUUCUAAUAUGGUACCUAUGGAACAGCAGCGGUAGAAACUAGAGAUGAGACCCAGUUAACCAGAGAGACCUAUGGAACAGCAGCGGUAGAAACUAGAGAUGAGACCCAGUUAACCAGAGAGACCUAUGGAACAGCAGCGGUAGAAACUAGAGAUGAGACCCAGUUAACCAGAGAGACCUAUGGAACAGCAGCGGUAGAAACUAGAGAUGAGACCCA
rnacentral:lncRNA from 1 species